GGGGAAGGGUAGCUUGCUACCUGACCUAGCGGCGGACGGGUGAGUAAUGCUUAGGAAUCUGCCUAUUAGUGGGGGACAACAUUCCGAAAGGAAUGCUAAUACCGCAUACGCCCUACGGGGGAAAGCAGGGGAUCUUCGGACCUUGCGCUAAUAGAUGAGCCUAAGUCAGAUUAGCUAGUUGGUGGGGUAAAGGCCUACCAAGGCGACGAUCUGUAGCGGGUCUGAGAGGAUGAUCCGCCACACUGGGACUGAGACACGGCCCAGACUCCUACGGGAGGCAGCAGUGGGGAAUAUUGGACAAUGGGCGAAAGCCUGAUCCAGCCAUGCCGCGUGUGUGAAGAAGGCCUUUUGGUUGUAAAGCACUUUAAGCGAGGAGGAGGCUACUGAGAUUAAUACUCUUGGAUAGUGGACGUUCUCGCAGAAUAAGCACCGGCUAACUCUGUGCCAGCAGCCGCGGUAAUACAGAGGGUGCGAGCGUUAAUCGGAUUUACUGGGCGUAA
rnacentral:rRNA from 1 species